AUUGAACGCUGGCGGCAUGCCUUACACAUGCUAGUCGAACGGCAGCACGGGAGCAAUCCUGGUGGCGAGUGGCGAACGGGUGAGUAAAGUAUCGGAACGUGCCCAGUCGUGGGGGAUAACGUAGCGAAAGUUACGCUAAUACCGCAUACGAUCUACGGAUGAAAGCGGGGGAUCGCAAGACCUCGCGCGAUUGGAGCGGCUGAUAUCAGAUUAGGUAGUUGGUGGGGUAAAGGCUCACCAAGCCGACGAUCUGUAGCUGGUCUGAGAGGACGACCAGCCACACUGGGACUGAGACACGGCCCAGACUCCUACGGGAGGCAGCAGUGGGGAAUUUUGGACAAUGGGCGCAAGCCUGAUCCAGCCAUGCCGCGUGCAGGAUGAAGGCCUUCGGGUUGUAAACUGCUUUUGUACGGAACGAAAAGGUUUGGCCUAAUAAGCUGGACCCAUGACGGUACCGUAAGAAUAAGCACCGGCUAACUACGUGCCAGCCGCCGCCGUAA
rnacentral:rRNA from 1 species